rnacentral:rRNA from 1 species
ACGGGUGCGUAACACGUGAGUUACAUGCCCUGCAGUGGGGAAUAGCCCGCCGAAAGGCGGAUUAAUACCCCAUGGUCCCGCAAGGGUAAAGGUGGCGCAAGCUGCCGCUGCAGGAUUGGCUCGCGGCCUAUCAGCUAGUUGGUGAGGUAACGGCUCACCAAGGCGACGACGGGUACCUGGUCUGAGAGGAUGAUCAGGCACACUGGAACUGAGACACGGUCCAGACACCUACGGGUGGCAGCAGUCGAGAAUAAUUCACAAUGGGGGAAACCCUGAUGGUGCAACGCCGCGUGGAGGAUGAAGGUCUUCGGAUUGUAAACUCCUGUCAUCUGGGAGUAAGACCUGGCGGUGAAUAGCCGACAGGGUUGAUAGUACCAGAAGAGGAAGGGACGGCUAACUUCGUGCCAGCAGCCGCGGUAAUACGAAGGUCCCAAGCGUUGUUCGGAAUCACUGGGCGUAAAGGGAGCGUAGGCGGCGUGGUAAGUCAGAUGUGAAAUCCCGGGGCUCAACCCCGGAACUGCAUCCGAUACUGCCAUGCUUGAGGGUUGGAGAGGUAGCUGGAAUUCUCGGUGUAGCAGUGA